rnacentral:rRNA from 1 species
UAGGGAAUAUUGGUAAUCUGGGAAACCGGGAACCAGCAACGCCGCGUGCGCGAUGAAGGCCUUCGGGUUGUAAAGCGCUUUUUAAAGGGGUGAGGAAGGACAGUACCUUUAGAAUAAGCCUCGGCUAACUACGUGCCAGCAGCCGGGGUAAAACGUAGGAGGCGAGCGUUAUCCGGAUUUACUGGGCGUAAAGCGUGUGCAGGCGGUUUGAUAAGUUGGAUGUGAAAGCUCCUGGCUUAACCGGGAGAGGUCGUUCAAAACUAUCAGACUAGAGAGUGGUAGAGGGAGAUGGAAUUCCGCGUGUAGUGGUGAAAUGCGUAGAUAUGCGGAGGAACACCAGUGGCGAAAGCGGUCUCCUGGCCCAUCUCUGACGCUCAGACACGAAAGCUAAGGUAGCAAACGG